rnacentral:snRNA from 1 species
AAUUUGAGAUCAAAUUAAGAAGAUUACAUAAUACACAGUAGAUUAGCAUGGCCCCUGUACAGGGAUGACAUGCAAAUUUGUCAAGUGCUCCAUAGUUUA